rnacentral:tRNA from 1 species
GAGAAUGUGGCUCAGGGGUAGUGUGUUUGCUUACAAUGCCAGAGGCCCUGGGUUACAUCCCCAGCAUCACA